UCUUUAGGAACCAAGAAUUGUAUGCAAAAUAUCAAACGCUAGCUAAAGACGAGCCAGGCGUCACAUUUGUAGGACGCUUAGCCAGCUAUAAAUAUUUCAAUAUGGACCAGGCGAUAUUGAAUGCUCUUGAACUGUUCGAUGGUCUCGUUUCUGAUGGAAAACU